rnacentral:tRNA from 1 species
UAGGAAGUGGUGUAGUGGAGGCACAAAGAGUUUUGAUCUCUUAAGGAGAGGUUCAAGUCCUCUUUUUCUAA